CUACGGGUCGCUGCAGUGAGGAAUAUUGCACAAUGGGGGGAACCCUGAUGCAGCAACGCCGCGUGGAGGAUGACGCAUUUCGGUGUGUAAACUCCUUUUAUAUGUCAAGAAAAUGACGGUAGCAUAUGAAUAAGCACCGGCUAACUCCGUGCCAGCAGCCGCGGUAAUACGGAGGGUGCAAGCGUUACUCGGAAUCACUGGGCGUAAAGGACGCGUAGGCGGGUUGGAAAGUCAGGUGUGAAAUCCUACAGCUUAACUGUAGAACUGCACUUGAAACUUCUAAUCUAGAGUAUGGGAGGGGGGGAGGGAAUUAGAGGUGUAGAGGUGAAAUCCGUAGAUAUCACAAGGAAUACCUAAAGCGAAGGCGAUCUCCUGGAACAUUACUGACGCUAAGGCGUGAAAGCGUGGGGAGCAAACAGGAUUAGAUACCCCAGUAGUC
rnacentral:rRNA from 1 species